UGGAUUCCGGUCCCAACAGAAGUGUGCAGGCUUGACUCGGAAUAAAAGGCAUGGUCUUUCUGAAGACUUGUUUCCACUCCAUUUCUUCCCGUUCUCUCUCAAUCUCACACUCUCACUCUCACUCUCACUCUGUUGGCGAGCGCGUGUCAGUCGCUUGCGCCAUCCAUUGCGACGAACGCCUCCGUUUCCGGCAACGAUCGGCUCUGUCCCUCAGGGUGGUCAUACAAAUGGGUCAAAUUCAGGCAUCUCUGAAACUGGAAAGGAAAAAAAAGGGACCACCAAGAACUUGAGGUGUUACAAAAGGCUGCAUAAGUGUCUUUGGCAGAAAGCACUCUCGUUUCUCCAGAAGAAAGUAAGUACUAAUAACAUAUGAGAGUGAGAUUUUGUUUGUAGUUCAUUUGUAAACUUGUUACGUCUCAUGCAUUUAGUAAAUGUUUAAAAGUAUUUUGAUAUACAAAUGUUUCUUUAAUUUCCAAUUGUAUUUAGAGAAAAUGAUUGAGAAGAAGUAUACAACUACAAAGUUCACCCGACAUGGAUAUGUUGAACUGCUAGAGACCCUUUUUAAAGAGCAGCAUGGAUUGUGUGUUUUCUAUUGGAAUGGGUGUGCUAACACUAUGUGUAAGGCCAAUCAAUAAUGGGUGAUAAAAGUUGAUAUUAAAAUAUAACAUUUUUAUGUUUAUUCUUUUCUUUAUAUAGAAGUAUUAUUAUUUUAAUAUCAGAAAUUAUAGGCAACACUUACAUAACUCAUUUAAUAUGUUCCAUUUGCAAAAGAAUGACGAACUUUAUGUUUUGGCUACAAAUAAGGAGGAGCCUCUCCUGGGUUAGAAAAAGCUAGAUUAGGUACAAUUUUAUUUUAUGCAAUAAUACUUAAACACUUUGUCAGUUAAUACCUAAAUACUUUGUCACUUUCUUAUUUUUUUCUAUGCAAUAAUACUUAAACACUUUGUCACUUAAACUAUUUCAUUUCAUUUUGUAACUUUCUCUACUUUAAGAGAUAUUUGUUUUUAAAGUCUGAGUAUCGGGCAGCCUAAGAUUUCAAUAGUAGUUGCUUUUUUGGAUGAGUUAGGUUGGACAUAUUUUUAAGGAUGCCAUGCUUUGUGGCAAAUUGAAGCAGGUAAUCCAACCUAUUAAAAUGAAAUUGGAGAUAGUGGAUAAAGAAAGUCUGGGCGAUGUAAUUGACUUGCUCGGGCAAGGGUUUCAUUAUGAUCUUAUUGUCUUGAAUUAUAGUUUCGUGAAAUAAAAAAGGGCUAGAGACAACGUAAGAAAGAACUUUUUGAUUUUAUAACUGCUUUAGUUAUUACUAUUUCACUAUGCGGGCUCUAAUGUUCUUUAGUUGCUAUUAUAAUAUAUGACAGAUAUGGGUGAAAAGCUUGAAGAAAGAAUGAUUCAUUGGGGAGAUGGCAGCCCUUGUUUGGCCUGAAGAUGUGCCUGAUAAUGAAUUUGACUCUUUAGUCGUCAUUGAUAGAUAUAUUGACAUAGAUCACGAAAUUGGACUUACACUGGUUCGAUCAGAUUGUAUGGACGAGCUUGAUCAAUUUGCAGAUAUAUUUGUUGGAUUGAUCAAACAGACAAUUUGGAACCGGGAAGUUGUGUGGGCGGAUGAUUUUUUUGUGAAUUAAUUCAUAGAAAGAUCGUCUGUCCACUCAACUUUACGGUUCCAAAUUGCCUGUUUGAUUAAUCCAGCAAAUAUAUCUGCAAAUUGAUAAGGCUCGUCUAUACAAUCCAAUCGAACCAGUGUAAGUCCUUUAAUUUCGUGAUCUAUGCCAAUAUAUUUAUUAGUGACGACCAAAGAGUCAAAUUCAUUCUCAGGCACAUCUUUAGGCCAAACAAGGGCUGCCAUCUCCCCAAUGAAUCCUUCUUCAAGCUUUUCACCCAUGUCUAUCAUAUGUCGUAAUAGUAGCAAGAGAACAUUAGAGUCCGCAUAGUGAAAUAGUAAUAACUAAAGCAGUCAUAAAAUCAAAAAAAUUCUUUCUUAUCUUGUCUAUAGCAUUUUCUUCUUUCACGAAGCUAUAAUUCAUGACAAUAGGAUCAUAAUGAAACCCUUGCUCGAGCGAGUCAAUUACAUCGCCUAGACUUUUUUUUAUCCAUUAAUUCCAAUUUUAUUUUAAUUAGUUGGAUCACAUCCUUCAAUUUGCCGCAAAGCAUGGCGUUCUUAAAAUAUGUCCAAUCUAACUCGUCCAAAGAAACAACUACUAUUGAGAUCGCAAGCUGCUCAAUACUCGGAUUUAAGAACAACUUUCUCUGAAAGUAGAGAAAAUUACAAAAUGUAAUGAAAUAGUUUAAGUGAUAGUGUUUAAAUAUUAUUGCACAGAAAAAUCAUAAGAAAGUGAAAAUGUUUAGGUAUUGACUAACAAAGUGAUUAAGUAUUAUUGCAUAAAGUAAAAUUGUCGCUCAUCUAGCUUUUUCCCCAACAAGAGAGGCUCCUUCUCAUUUGUAGCCAAAACAUUGAGCUCAUCAUUCUUCUGCAAAUGGAACAUAUUCAAUGAGAUAUGGAAGUGUUGUCUAGAAUUUCUUAUAAUAAAAUAAUAAAACUUCUACAUAAAGAAAAGAAUAAACAUAAAAGUGAUGUGUUUCAAUAUCAGCUUUUGUCACCCAAUAUUGACUGACCUUACACAUAGUAUUAACACACUCAUUCCAAUAGAAAACAUACAAUCCAUGCUCCUCUUUAGAAAGGGUCUCUAGCAGUUCAACAUAUCCAUGUCGGGUGAACUUUGUAGUUGUAUACUUCUUCACAAUCAUUUUUUUUAAAUACAUUUGGAAAUUAGAGAAACAUUCGUAUAUCAAAAUACUUUUAAAUAUUUAUUAAAUGCAGGAGACAUAACAAGUUUACAAAUGAACUACAAAUAAAAUCCCACUCUCAUAUGGUAUUAGCACUCACUUUCUUAUGGAGAAACUAGAGUGCUUUCUGUCAAAGACACUUGUGCAGCCUUUUGUAACACCUCAAGUUUUUGGUGGUCCCUAUUUUUUCCUUUCCAAUUUGAGAGAAUUUUCGUCGCAGUAAAAUCUUCAAAUCCUUGGCCAAUCUCCAUAGCAUUAGAACAAGCAUAGCAAGGGAAAUGUUUUUGGUUCUUGGACUUCGGCCAAAAAGUGGACGGAGGUGCCUGAAACACGACCAAAACUGCCGACCUCUUAAAUCUCAAAUCAACCCAAACUAUGUAUACAAUUAGCAAGAGCACGAAGAUUAGAUUGAAAUCCAUACUUGGAUCGAUGUCAACGGCCAUGGUAGUCGUCAGAAUUGGCGUUGUAAAGCGAAACCUUCAUUCUCCCUUUUUGAGCUCACGUCGGUGUCUUGAGGAGCUGGGGAGGUUGGGCUUUGGUCUAGACAUCGUCACCGGUCGGUGGCUGUCAUUUUUCGACCUGUCUCGUUGUCGGAGGUGGCUAGACGACGAUGUUGUGUCAUCGAGAAGACGAACAGCACAAUGACUGUGUCGAAGGGGAAAGAGAGACGCGGGGAAGGAGAGAGAACCUGGGGGUUUCACGGGUGUGUGAGAGAGUUGGGUAUUUAACGUUUUCAAACAAUUUCACUAAUUCCUGAUACGUCCUUUCCAUUUUCUCCUUCAUUAUAACUCGGAAUUGAUCUUGCCGCCUAUCUACGAACUCGUA